rnacentral:rRNA from 1 species
UACGUAGGGUGCAAGCGUUAAUCGGAAUUACUGGGCGUAAAGCGUGCGCAGGCGGCUUUGCAAGACAGAUGUGAAAUCCCCGGGCUUAACCUGGGAACUGCAUUUGUGACUGCAUGGCUGGAGUGCGGCAGAGGGGGAUGGAAUUCCGCGUGUAGCAGUGAAAUGCGUAGAUAUGCGGAGGAACACCGAUGGCGAAGGCAAUCCCCUGGGCCUGCACUGACGCUCAUGCACGAAAGCGUGGGGAGCGAAACAAGG